UACGGGGGGGGCAAGCGUUGUUCGGAAUUACUGGGCGUAAAGGGCUCGUAGGCGGCCAACUAAGUCAGACGUGAAAUCCCUCGGCUUAACCGGGGAACUGCGUCUGAUACUGGAUGGCUUGGAUUCGGGAGAGGGAUGCGGAAUUCCAGGUGUAGCGGUGAAAUGCGUAGAUAUCUGGAGGAACACCGGUGGCGAAGGCGGCAUCCUGGACCAAUAUUGACGCUGAGGAGCGAAAGCUAGGGGAGCAAACGGG
rnacentral:rRNA from 1 species